UUUCCGUAGGUGAACCUGCGGAAGGAUCAUUACCUGGACGCCGGCCCUCGCGGUCGUGACUGGCGCCCGCGGCCCCUCGGGGUCGUGGCCGACGGUUAACCCUCUGUGAAAACCCUCGUUGCUUCGGCAGCACUCCGCCGCGGCCUUGCGCCUCGACGGGGCGUCAGCCUGCCGAAGGCACCCUCGGAAACUCAUUUUGAAAUCAAGCACCCGUCUGAAAAACCAGUCAAAUGACAUUAAAACUUUCAACAACGGAUCUCUUGGUUCCC
rnacentral:misc_RNA from 1 species